rnacentral:rRNA from 1 species
AUUGAACGCUGGCGGCAGGCUUAACACAUGCAAGUCGAGCGGGGAUUGGGUGCUUGCACCUAAUCUUAGCGGCGGACGGGUGAGUAAUGCUUAGGAAUCUGCCAUUUAGUGGGGGACAACAUUCCGAAAGGGAUGCUAAUACCGCAUACGCCCUACGGGGGAAAGCAGGGGAUCUUCGGACCUUGCGCUAAAUGAUGAGCCUAAGUCGGAUUAGCUAGUUGGUGGGGUAAAGGCCUACCAAGGCGACGAUCUGUAGCGGGUCUGAGAGGAUGAUCCGCCACACUGGGACUGGGACACGGCCCAGACUCCUACGGGAGGCAGCAGUUGGGAAUAUUGGACAAGGAGCGAAAGCCGGAUCCAGCCAUGCCGCGUGUGUGAAGAAGGCCUUUUGGUUGUAAAGCACUUUAAGCGAGGAGGAGGCGACUUAGAUUAAUACUCUGGGAUAGUGGACGUUACUCGCAGAAUAAGCACCGGCUAACUCUGUGCCAGCCGCCGCCGUAAUAC